rnacentral:rRNA from 1 species
AGUGAACGCUGGCGGUAGGCCUAACACAUGCAAGUCGAACGGCAGCACGGUAAGAGCUUGCUCUUACGGGUGGCGAGUGGCGGACGGGUGAGGAAUACAUCGGAAUCUACUUUUUCGUGGGGGAUAACGUAGGGAAACUUACGCUAAUACCGCAUACGACCUACGGGUGAAAGCAGGGGAUCUUCGGACCUUGCGCGAUUGAAUGAGCCGAUGUCGGAUUAGCUAGUUGGCGGGGUAAAGGCCCACCAAGGCGACGAUCCGUAGCUGGUCUGAGAGGAUGAUCAGCCACACUGGAACUGAGACACGGUCCAGACUCCUACGGGAGGCAGCAGUGGGGAAUAUUGGACAAUUGGCGCAAGCCUGAUCCAGCCAUACCGCGUGGGUGAAGAAGGCCUUCGGGUUGUAAAGCACUUUUGUUGGGAAAGAAAAGCAGCAGGUUAAUACCCCGCUGUUCUGACGGUACCCAAAGAAUAAGCACCGGCUAACUUCGUG